rnacentral:lncRNA from 1 species
CAUCAAAAGAUGCAUUUAGCCUUUUAGCUUCUUAGGCCAGUGGGAAGAUAUAGUUUCCAUCCUAAUAUCUGCUUUACCUGGGGGGAGAGCAGCCAUGUGUUUCUUUGUGCUCCACUCCACCUGCCAGCUGUGCCUUCUCUUGUGUUCGUUCUCCUCUGCACUGCCCCAUCCUAUGCUUGCUUUAGUGUACAAAUCCCAGAAACCAACUUCUCCAUUUUCUCUGAAUUAGGAAAUAUUAUCCCAGCCAGAGCAUUGUUGAAAAAUUAAAUUUAACAAAUAAAAGCAUAGUGACGUUUUAAAUAUAAAUCAGACACAUCCCCAGGAUUUGCUUUUAACUGCACACCUUCUAAGAAAUUAUAUUUUUACUCCCAGCAAAUUACCUAGCAGGAAGAAAAUGACAAGAGUAAUCUAUUUUUUUCACAGCUGGUCGGUUGGCCAGAGUUUCUCAUCAAGGCGUGCAUGCUGUUUGCUCCGCAGAUGGACAGCCUGGAUGAGCCAAAUCCAUGGAGCCUGGGACACAAGCCUCGGGCUUGUGUGUGGCUGCGGAGUGCCUGCCCUCUUUUCUACGUCGUCCUCAUGCUCGUGGGCCACCUGUGGAGAGGCGCGGCCUUGUGAGCGCUGGGUGCCAUUCAGACGGCCAGGCCUCCUCCUCUGUGGAGAGCCGUCCAUCAUUCGACCAGGGAAGGCCGCCUCGGACAGGGCCGGUGAGGGUGAGGCUGAGGCUGGACUGCGGAGAGGCGCGGGCUCCCCGAGCAGAAGGGCUGCUGUCCAGGUUCCCGAUGCACGCCCAGCCCUGCCAGCAGCGGACGGCAAGAGUGACCUUCUGGGGAAUUCGGCCCUUUUGUGGCAACCGGAACUUCCAGCAUGAAGCUUCCGGCAGUUCUUGGCCUCUGAUACGGCCUGGAAGAGGCCUUGUCUUUGAAAGCUCAUGCGAACAGGCCGUGUAAAGCCCAUGCAUGGCCAAGCUGCCUUCCUUGGAACUUGCCUCUCCCUUCCUCGCCCAGAGCUGUUCUCCAGCUGAAGGCCUUGCUUCUCAUCUCCCCAAGCAACAGAGGCUGCACAGCGCGCUGCCCCGUGGCUGCCAGUGCUCCUCCCACCAUGCUGGCUCCCGGACACCAGCAUGCAGUGUGCACCCCGACAGAGGAGCGGAGGCUUCCUGGGAGCAGAGGACAGCGGGACAGGAGGAGCCAGGGCGGGUCAGGAGCACAGGCAGCUGUGGGGGUGGGCACUGGUCCUGCCUCUCCAGUUUCGUCAUUCUGGUCUCUGUAAUCUUAUCUCAUAUGUGACGUUUAUUUUUCUCUUUCUGCCUUUGAGCAUAGAGGUUAUUCUCCUAGAAGAAAAUUCAUUGACUACCUACUAUGUGUUAGACAUUGUGAUAAAAAGACGAGUAAAAAUAAAUUUCUACUUUCACGGAGCUUGCAGCCUAUGGAGGAAAAGCAACAUUAGACAAAUAAUCACACAAAUAAGAAUCAAAUUUGCAUACAUCAUGAGUGUUUUGAGCGGUGUAAAUGUGGUAUUCUGAGAGAAUAUCAGGGGUGGGAAGGGAGGGUGAAAAAAAGGGUCUAAUUUGGGAGAUCAGGAAGGGAGACUAGAGUUGAAAUCUGAAGUUUUGGGUGAUUGCAGAGGUGAGCAUCUAGCCAAAAAAGCUUUAUGAGCAGUAGAAACAGAACAUGCAAAGGCCCUGUGGUGAUAGAGAUCAAGGAAUCUGGUGUCAGAAAGGCUAGAAGUGGCCAGAGAUCUAAAUGUACAGGGUUUGAAGAUCAUUGUGAUAAGAAGGGAUUUUAAAGGAGAUUGGAGGAGAGGAGCAUGUCCAGACUUGCCUUUGGAAAGAUCUUUUUCAUUUAGCUCCCAUUCACAUAAUUUCUUUGACUAGAGCACGUACUCUUGAGUCAAGCCAGGGAAGCAAGCUGGCUGGACUACUCAUCAGGAGCUCGAGGUCUAGGGGAGAGUUUUCAAGGAGAUGCAGAAGGCCCCAGGGGGCAGGCAGAACAGACCUUUUCAGUAUCAGCCAGGCAGCAGGAGAUUUCUUUGGGACUUCUCAGGCUCAGCCUCUGCAGCCCCUGAUCUGACACUGGAGAGUAACAGCCGUCCUUGAGAGGAGGCGGUGCUGGUCGCUGUGCACAGGUUGCUUCUGGUAAUUGGAGGUAAAAAUGGAAAAGUGGCUCACCUAAUUGCAUUCUAAAUUACAGCCGUUCUUCAAUUUGUUUCUUAAAAGUGCUCGAUGCCUUCAAGAAGAAAAGGGCUUUUUUUGCAGUGGAGGAACAAUGAGGGGCAGGAGGAGGGGUGGAUGCACCUAUACUCGUAUUACCUUGCUCUGGCUGUUGUUUGUAAGUGCAGAUUUGAGUGGCUUGCUCAAUUAUUCUCACUCUGUGCAUGCUAAGGGUAAUAAACUUGGAAAACGGAAACACAUGAGUCUACAGUAAUUGUUUUUUAGAUAGUGUAAUAAUUCAUGAUAAUUGCUU